rnacentral:rRNA from 1 species
AGAGUUUGAUCCUGGCUCAGGAUAAACGCUGGCGGCGCACAUAAGACAUGCAAGUCGAACGAACUUAACCAUUAGUUUACUAUUGGAGCGGUUAGUGGCGGACUGGUGAGUAACACGUAAGCAACCUGCCUAUCAGAGGGGAACAACAGUUAGAAAUGACUGCUAAUACCGCAUAUGCCUUAGAAUCACAUGGUUCAAAAGGGAAAGGAGCAAUCCGCUGAUAGAUGGGCUUGCGUCUGAUUAGCUAGUUGGUGGGGUAACGGCCUACCAAGGCGACGAUCAGUAGCCGAACUGAGAGGUUGAACGGCCACAUUGGGACUGAGAUACGGCCCAGACUCCUACGGGAGGCAGCAGUCGGGAAUAUUGCGCAAUGGAGGAAACUCUGACGCAGUGACGCCGCGUGCAGGAAGAAGGUUUUCGGAUUGUAAACUGCUUUAGACAGGGAAGAACAAAGACAGUACCUGUAGAAUAAGCUCCGGCUAACUACGUGCCAGCAGCCGCGGUAAUACGUAGGGAGCGAGCGUUAUCCGGAUUUAUUGGGUGUAAAGGGUGCGUAGACGGGAAGUCAAGUUAGUUGUGAAAUCCCUCGGCUUAACUGAGGAACUGCAACUAAAACUGAUUUUCUUGAGUACUGGAGAGGAAAGUGGAAUUCCUAGUGUAGCGGUGAAAUGCGUAGAUAUUAGGAGGAACACCAGUGGCGAAGGCGACUUUCUGGACAGUAACUGACGUUGAGGCACGAAAGUGUGGGGAGCAAACAGGAUUAGAUACCCUGGUAGUCCACACCGUAAACGAUGGAUACUAGGUGUAGGGUGUGAUAAACAUUCUGUGCCGUCGCAAACGCAAUAAGUAUCCCACCUGGGGAGUACGGCCGCAAGGUUGAAACUCAAAGGAAUUGACGGGGGCCCG